rnacentral:rRNA from 1 species
UUUUUCAAAAACAUCGCUCUUUGUUAUUGUUUUAUAGGGAGUAGUACCUGCCCAGUGAUAUUUUAACGGCCGCAGUACCCUGACUGUGCAAAGGUAGCAUAAUCAUUUGCCUUUUAAUUGGAGGCUUGUAUGAAUGGUUUGACGUGAAUUUAGCUGUCUCUUUUGUAUUAUUUAGAAAUUAAUUUUCAGGUGAAGAAGCCUGAAUGUUUUCAAAAGACGAAAAGACCCUGUCGAGCUUAAGAUGUGCAGGUAAUUUUAUUAUUUUAGUAUAAUAAUUUUUCUUGUUAUUAAUUUUGUUGGGGUGACAGAAGAACAUAGAAAGCUUCUUUUUAUUAUGUAAAUUAAUAUAUUUUUAGAUCCUUUAAUUAAAGAUUAUAAAAUUAGUUACCGCAGGGAUAACAGCGUAAUUUUUUUGGAAAGUUCUAAUUGAAGAAAAAGUUUGCGACCUCGAUGUUGGAUUAGAAUACCUGUUAGGUGGAGAGGCUUAAUAAGGAGGUCUGUUCGCCCUUUAAACUUCUACAUGAUCUGAGU